rnacentral:rRNA from 1 species
UACUCCUACGGGAGGCAGCAGUGGGGAAUAUUGCACAAUGGGCGGAAGCCUGAUGCAGCGACGCCGCGUGAGGGAUGACGGCCUUCGGGUUGUAAACCUCUUUCGACAGGGACGAAGCGCAAGUGACGGUACCUGUAGAAGAAGCACCGGCCAACUACGUGCCAGCAGCCGCGGUAAUACGUAGGGUGCGAGCGUUGUCCGGAAUUACUGGGCGUAAAGAGCUUGUAGGCGGUUCGUCGCGUCGAUCGUGAAAACUUGCAGCUCAACUGCGAGCUUGCGGUCGAUACGGGCGGACUAGAGUACUGCAGGGGAGACUGGAAUUCCUGGUGUAGCGGUGAAAUGCGCAGAUAUCAGGAGGAACACCGGUGGCGAAGGCGGGUCUCUGGGCAGUAACUGACGCUGAGAAGCGAAAGCCAUCCCUC